rnacentral:tRNA from 1 species
AAAAAGAUAAGCUAAUUAAGCUUUUAGGUUCAUACCCCAAAUAUAAAGGUUAUCAACCCUUUUCUUUUUA